UCCACAUUGGUGUCUACCAUGAGAUUCUACU
rnacentral:piRNA from 1 species